rnacentral:rRNA from 1 species
CGCCUCUUGAUUUAACUAUAAGAGGUCCAGCCUGCCCAGUGACACUGUUCAACGGCCGCGGUAUCCUAACCGUGCGAAGGUAGCGUAAUCACUUGUCCUUUAAAUGAGGACUAGUAUGAAUGGCCCCACGAAAGCUAUACUGUCUCCUUUUUCCAAUCAGUUAAAUUAAUCUUCCCGUGAAGAAGCGGGAAUAAACAUAUAAGACGAGAAGACCCUAUGGAGCUUUAAACAAUUGAAACAAGUGCAUUUUUCAUUCCAUUCCAGAAACCAACAAUUAAUCCCUCACUCUGUUUCUAGUUUUAGGUUGGGGUGACCAAGGAGAAAAAACCAACCUCCACGUUGAAAGGGACUAACCCCUUAACAAAAAGCAACAUCUUUAUGUAUUAACACAUUAACCCAAAUUGACCCAAUUAAUUGAUCAACGAACCAAGUUACCCUAGGGAUAACAGCGCAAUCCAUUUCAAGAGCUCUUAUCGACAAAUGGGUUUACGACCUCGAUGUUGGAUCAGGGUAUCCCAGUGGUGCAGCCGCUACU